UUCUAAGAGAGCUAUAGGUGAAAGUAAUGUACAAAGGGAUGGAGAAUUUCCAUUGUUGAUGAUUAAGAUAAGAAUAACAAACAAAGGGCAAUUUUAUCAAUUUAAUUAGCCAUGAUUGGUGAUUUUAGCUGGUAGCAAUGCAACUAAGACACAAAAAUGAACCUCUAUCGGUUAAUAAGACCAAAAAAAAAAGGGACUGUGAAUAGGUGCUCUAACCAUGUCUAGAAAGAUUUAUUAGUGAUGCAAAGC
rnacentral:lncRNA from 1 species